rnacentral:misc_RNA from 1 species
GAUGAAGAACGUAGCGAAAUGCGAUAAGUAAUGUGAAUUGCAGAAUUCAGUGAAUCAUCGAAUCUUUGAACGCACAUUGCGCCCAUUAGUAUUCUAGUGGGCAUGCCUGUUCGAGCGUCAUUUCAACCCUUAAGCCUAGCUUAGUGUUGGGAAUCUGCUGUAUUGCAGUUCCUCAAAUACAACCGCGGAUCUGUAACAUCCUCUGAGCGUAGUAAAUUUUUAUCUCGCUUUUGUUAGGUGUUGCAGCUCUCAGCCGCUAAACCCCCCAAUUUUUGUGGUUGACCUCGGAUCAGGUAGGAAUACCCGCUGAACUUAAGCAUAUCAAUAAGCGGAGGA